AUGAAUGGCCAUUCGUGGCCUUCGACCCUUCAAAUUCUGUGGAGGUAAAAGUGUGUUUCGGCGCUUUGGCGCCGUCUUUAUGCUAUAGAAUCUGUGUCUGAAUUCAAAAUAUAAAUCUA
rnacentral:misc_RNA from 1 species